rnacentral:rRNA from 1 species
UUUAUGGAGAGUUUGAUCCUGGCUCAGAGUGAACGCUGGCGGCGUGCCUAAUACAUGCAAGUCGAACGAUGAAGCUUCUAGCUUGCUAGAAUGCUGAUUAGUGGCGCACGGGUGAGUAACGCAUAGGUUAUGUGCCUCUUAGUUUGGGAUAGCCAUUGGAAACGAUGAUUAAUACCAGAUACUCCCUACGGGGGAAAGAUUUAUCGCUAAGAGAUCAGCCUAUGUCCUAUCAGCUUGUUGGUAAGGUAAUGGCUUACCAAGGCUAUGACGGGUAUCCGGCCUGAGAGGGUGAACGGACACACUGGAACUGAGACACGGUCCAGACUCCUACGGGAGGCAGCAGUAGGGAAUAUUGCUCAAUGGGGGAAACCCUGAAGCAGCAACGCCGCGUGGAGGAUGAAGGUUUUAGGAUUGUAAACUCCUUUUGUUAGAGAAGAUAAUGACGGUAUCUAACGAAUAAGCACCGGCUAACUCCGUGCCAGCAGCCGCGGUAAUACGGAGGGUGCAAGCGUUACUCGGAAUCACUGGGCGUAAAGAGCGCGUAGGCGGGAUAGUCAGUCAGGUGUGAAAUCCUAUGGCUUAACCAUAGAACUGCAUUUGAAACUACUAUUCUAGAGUGUGGGAGAGGUAGGUGGAAUUCUUGGUGUAGGGGUAAAAUCCGUAGAGAUCAAGAGGAAUACUCAUUGCGAAGGCGACCUGCUGGAACAUUACUGACGCUGAUUGCGCGAAAGCGUGGGGAGCAAACAGGAUUAGAUACCCUGGUAGUCCACGCCCUAAACGAUGGAUGCUAGUUGUUGGAGGGCUUAGUCUCUCCAGUAAUGCAGCUAACGCAUUAAGCAUCCCGCCUGGGGAGUACGGUCGCAAGAUUAAAACUCAAAGGAAUAGACGGGGACCCGCACAAGCGGUGGAGCAUGUGGUUUAAUUCGAAGAUACACGAAGAACCUUACCUAGGCUUGACAUUGAGAGAAUCCGCUAGAAAUAGUGGAGUGUCUAGCUUGCUAGACCUUGAAAACAGGUGCUGCACGGCUGUCGUCAGCUCGUGUCGUGAGAUGUUGGGUUAAGUCCCGCAACGAGCGCAACCCCCUUUCUUAGUUGCUAACAGGUCAUGCUGAGAACUCUAAGGAUACUGCCUCCGUAAGGAGGAGGAAGGUGGGGACGACGUCAAGUCAUCAUGGCCCUUACGCCUAGGGCUACACACGUGCUACAAUGGGGUGCACAAAGAGAAGCAAUACUGCGAAGUGGAGCCAAUCUUCAAAACACCUCUCAGUUCGGAUUGUAGGCUGCAACUCGCCUGCAUGAAGCUGGAAUCGCUAGUAAUCGCAAAUCAGCCAUGUUGCGGUGAAUACGUUCCCGGGUCUUGUACUCACCGCCCGUCACACCAUGGGAGUUGUGUUUGCCUUAAGUCAGGAUGCUAAAUUGGCUACUGCCCACGGCACACACAGCGACUGGGGUGAAGUCGUAACAAGGUAACCGUAGGUGAACCUGCGGUUGGAUCACCUCCUUUCUAGA